ensembl:misc_RNA Y_RNA Y RNA
GGCUGGUCCGAUGGUAGUGGGUUACCAGAGCUUAUCAACAGUCGUGUCACUAAAGUUGGUAUUCAACCCCCCACUGCUAAAUUUGACUGGCUUUAG